UUGGGGGGGGGAAGUUGCAGCUGUUUUGUUGACAUUCUGAAUGCUUUCUUCAUGCCCUGAAGGAGUUAUUCACCUGCACCAACUGCUUGGCUCCCAGAACUGCUCCAGCCUCCAUCAUUUCUAAGCCUGGAUCUUCAGCCUUUCCUUCAAGAUGGUUGAGAGACUAAAUGGGAGCUAAAAUGAAGGCACUCCACUCAAUUUCACCCAGAGGAAGAGGACCCUUUUUCAAGCUCACAUUGAAGGUAUUUUAUGACCUUGCAGCAGUGCUGACCCAUUACCUUUUUUUUUAACUGAGGUAAAAUAUAUACAACAUAAAAAUUGCCAUUUUAAUCAUGUAAAAACAUUUUUCUAAGUUUCU